rnacentral:lncRNA from 1 species
CUUUCUUCUUUGUGGCCCAAAUUGAAGAGGACACUGGAUUCCUCUGAUGGAGUUCUGCUCCCUAGAGCUGAUGCUGCAGAUGCUGCUCUCAGGGUCCUUGGGCUUGCCCCCAGCCAAUGGGAAAGAGAGGUCAAGACUGUGCUCAGCUUGGUGGACCUGAGACAUCGAGGAUCCUUCUGAAAGGAUGGCCUGAGGCUUGGAGCGUCAGAGGAAGUCUGGGGCCAACUCUGCCUCUCUGAGCUUCAGUUUUCUCUUCUCUGCAACAAGAGCAUUGGGCUGUAUAAUCCCUAGAAGGAGACCCUUCUGCUCAGGGAAGGGUCCUGCUUGGACUAUUGCAGUAGCCUCCAAGUAGCUUGAACUUUGCUCAGACUCUCCCCUCCCCAAUCUGCUAAGCAGAUUGUUGACAAGAUUCUCUGCAGUUUGCUGCUUUGAUGAUGUCCCUCUCCAGCU